rnacentral:lncRNA from 1 species
AGUUUAUCUGGAUUAUUCAGGAGAAAGAGAUAGCAUUCGUCAAAAAAAAUAUCCUCAAUGCCUAGCUUAAGCACUAGAGCAGCAACCUCAUCCUCUUCAAUGAAAAGUCGGUAUUUUUAUGUUGAUGCUUCAAUAGCAUCCGCAACACUCUUGAGUCCAUUCCUCAAAAUUUCAACUUUAUCUAUCUUAGCUUUUCUCUUAGCUUUCUAAAGGAUACAUCAGAUUGUUGGAAGCAUCUAUCAGGCAAAAAGGGAGAAAGUCAAAGGAAGAACUAUUCACAUUGUGUAUGUCGUCACCAGUUCUAUCGUCAUAAUUUUCAUUGUUAUCAUUUCCAUCAUCCUCAUGAAUCGUAGGUUGAUUUAUUGAUACCAUGUAAUAUACAUCAUCAAUAGUAUUCAUGUUACCUUUCCUUCUUAACCUCUCCCUCAUCUCAGAAGCUAUCUCAGCUUGCUCAUCAGUCACUCUAUCAGCUCCAUAAAGCAUGCAUAGCUUAUCCUAGUUGGAAAAUGGCUUGUUCCUCCAUUCUUGAGCCUUAGGAUUACUCUACAAAAUAAUAAGUAACUUUAAUAAGAUAACUUGAAUGCGAGAAAGAGUUUUAGAAAAAAUUUAAUCAUUGA